rnacentral:rRNA from 1 species
UACGUAGGGUGCGAGCGUUAAUCGGAAUUACUGGGCGUAAAGCGUGCGCAGGCGGCUUUGCAAGACAGAUGUGAAAUCCCCGGGCUCAACCUGGGAACUGCAUUUGUGACUGCAAGGCUAGAGUACGGCAGAGGGGGAUGGAAUUCCGCGUGUAGCAGUGAAAUGCGUAGAUAUGCGGAGGAACACCAAUGGCGAAGGCAAUCCCCUGGGCCUGUACUGACGCUCAUGCACGAAAGCGUGGGGGGCAAACAGG